rnacentral:rRNA from 1 species
AUUGAACGCUGGCGGCAGGCUUAACACAUGCAAGUCGAGCGGGGUGAUGGUGCUUGCACUAUCACUUAGCGGCGGACGGGUGAGUAAUGCUUAGGAAUCUGCCUAUUAGUGGGGGACAACAUCUCGAAAGGGAUGCUAAUACCGCAUACGUCCUACGGGAGAAAGCAGGGGAUCACUUGUGACCUUGCGCUAAUAGAUGAGCCUAAGUCGGAUUAGCUAGUUGGUGGGGUAAAGGCCUACCAAGGCGACGAUCUGUAGCGGGUCUGAGAGGAUGAUCCGCCACACUGGGACUGAGAAACGGCCCAGACUCCGACGAGAGGCAGCAGUGGGGAAUAUUGGACAAUGGGGUGAACCCUGAUCCAGCCAUGCCGCGUGUGUGAAGAAGGCCUUAUGGUUGUAAAGCACUUUAAGCGAGGAGGAGGCUCUUUUGGUUAAUACCCAAGAUGAGUGGACGUUACUCGCAGAAUAAGCACCGGCUAACUCUGUGCCAGCAGCCGCGGUAA